rnacentral:rRNA from 1 species
CCUACGGGGGGCUGCAGUAGGGAAUAUUGCUCAAUGGGGGAAACCCUGAAGCAGCAACGCCGCGUGGAGGAUGAAGGUUUUCGGAUUGUAAACCUCUUUUGUCGGGGAACAAAGGCGCCCACGGGUGGGCGGAUGAGUGUACCCGAAGAAAAAGCAUCGGCUAACUCCGUGCCAGCAGCCGCAGUAAUACGGAGGAUGCGAGCGUUAUCCGGAUUUAUUGGGUUUAAAGGGUGCGUAGGCGGACGGUCAAGUCAGCGGUAAAAAUGCGGUGCUCAACGCCGUACAGCCGUUGAAACUGGCAGUCUUGAGUGGGCGAGAAGUAUGCGGAAUGCGUGGUGUAGCGGUGAAAUGCAUAGAUAUCACGCAGAACUCCGAUUGCGAAGGCAGCAUACCGGCGCCCUACUGACGCUGAGGCACGAAAGCGUGGGUAUCGAACAGGAUUAGAUACCCCAGUAGUC